GGAACGGGGGGCCGGGGGGUGCGGAGAGGGAUUGGGGAAGCGGAGCCUGGCAGCCUGGCAGCCCCCUCCCCAAAUUCGCAGCUGCUGCCAGAUGCCAUCGCCGUUGGCCCGCCGCUCACGCACUGUUAACUCCAGCGGCGGAGGGUGGCUGGGGAUGGGGGGUGAGGGGUGAGGGGGGGGCAGGCUGACAAAGGGCCCCCCCCUCGCUAAUUGGUGCCGCUCGGCCGCCCUGCCCUCCCUCCGGCCCUCUGCCCCUGCGCCGGUGGCUGCUCGGCCGGACAGCUUAGGGCUCUGCUGCAAAGAGCAUCGCUGCCUGGCCCUCCUCAUCCUCACCCUCAUCCUCAUCAUCCUCAUCCUCACCCUCAUCCUCAUCCUCAUCCUCAUCCUCACCCUCAUCCUCAUCCUCAUCCUCAUCCUCAUCCUCAUCCUCAUCCUCAUCCUCAUCCCCCUCACCAUCCUCAUCAUCCUCACCCUCAUCAUCCUCAUUCUCUUCCUCAUCCUCAUCCUCGUCCUCACCCUCAUCAUCCUCACCUUCAUCCUCAUCAUCCUCACCAUCCUCGUCCUCCUUACCCUCCUCACCCUCAUCAUCCUCACCCUCAUCAUCCUCACCCUCGUCCUCAUCAUCCUCACCCUCAUCAUCCUCACCCUCAUCCUCCUCACCCUCAUCAUCCUCAUCACCCUCACCCUCAUCACCCUCACUCUCACCUUCAUCCUCACCCUCAUCCUCACCCUCACUCUUGUCCUCACCCUUAUCUUCAUCAUCCUCAUCCUCACCCUCAUCCUCAUCACCCUCACCCUCAUCCUGCUCAUCCCGCUCCACAGGGCCCUGGACACGGGGCAGAGCCUGGCACAGACGCCCCCGUGCCAUGGGCUCACUGGAGGCUGGGUUUGGGUCAAUUUGGGCGACAAACCUGGUGCGCGGCCGCCACAGCCAGCCCCUCGGUGGCCGGGUCGGUGCCCAGCACUCGUGCGAGGCUCAGCGCUGCCCAAGGGGGUCCCACGGCCCCCAGCCACCUAUGAGCCUCCAAACAGCCAAAUUUCACCCCCAAAUUUUACCCAAAACGCCCGGCGAGGCCACUCUGGGGCACGGCACAGAUCCCGGGACGGGGGGCACGGAUCCGAGCUGCCGCCCCGAGGGCGACUUUGGGCACCUCAUGCGCCCCGAGGGCGACUUUGGGCACCUCGUGCGCCCCGAGCCGAGCCCCGUGGGCUCCCGGAGCUCCUCAAACUUUUCCGACAGUCCCUCAGUGACCGCUCUCCCCCUCGCACCCUGCCCAUUGUGCGAUGUGUCACUUUGUGCAGCGCUGUCAAACGGCGCGGGGCUGCCCCAGCCCCGCGCAGCCCCCGUGAAAAGCCCGGCGGGGGGCCAGG
rnacentral:lncRNA from 1 species